rfam:Desulfitibacter sp. BRH_c19 BRHa_1004626, whole genome shotgun sequence.
UUCGGUGGCGAUGGCGGAGGGGUAACACCCGUUCCCAUACCGAACACGGAAGUAAAGUCCUCCAGCGCCGAUGGUACUAGGUUUUCCUGGGAGAGUAGGUCGUUGCCGAAU